AGGAAAGCAGGGGAUCGCAAGACCUUGCGCUCUUGGAGCGGCCGAUGUCUGAUUAGCUAGUUGGUGAGGUAAAGGCUUACCAAGGCGACGAUCAGUAGCUGGUCUGAGAGGACGACCAGCCACACUGGGACUGAGACACGGCCCAGACUCCUACGGGAGGCAGCAGUGGGGAAUUUUGGACAAUGGGGGAAACCCUGAUCCAGCCAUGCCGCGUGAGUGAAGAAGGCCUUCGGGUUGUAAAGCUCUUUCAGCCGGAACGAAACGGUCACGGCUAAUACCUGUGAUCACUGACGGUACCGGAAGAAGAAGCACCGGCUAACUACGUGCCAGCAGCCGCGGUAAUACGUAGGGUGCAAGCGUUAAUCGGAAUUACUGGGCGUAAAGCGUGCGCAGGCGGUUUUGUAAGUCAGAUGUGACAUCCCCGGGCUUAACCUGCGAACUGCGUUUGAAACUACCAAGCU
rnacentral:rRNA from 1 species